GAUGAACGCUAGCGGGAGGCUUAACACAUGCAAGUCGAGGGGCAGCAUAAGGUAGCAAUACUUUGAUGGCGACCGGCGUACGGGUGAGUAACGCGUAUGCAACCUACCCUGUACUGGGGGAUAGCCCGGAGAAAUUCGGAUUAAUACCCCAUAAAGAUAUUCAGAGGCAUCUUUGAAUAUUUAAAGUUUCGACGGUACGGGAUGGGCAUGCGUAACAUUAGCUAGUUGGUAGGGUAACGGCCUACCAAGGCGACGAUGUUUAGGGGUCCUGAGAGGGUGAUCCCCCACACUGGUACUGAGACACGGACCAGACUCCUACGGGAGGCAG
rnacentral:rRNA from 1 species